rnacentral:rRNA from 1 species
GACGGAGGAUGCAAGUGUUAUCCGGAAUCACUGGGCGUAAAGCGUCUGUAGGUGGUUUAAUAAGUCAACUGUUAAAUCUUGAGGCUCAACCUCAAAAUCGCAGUCGAAACUAUUAGGCUAGAGUAUAGUAGGGGUAAAGGGGAUUUCCAGUGGAGCGGUGAAAUGCGUAGAGAUUGGAAAGAACACCGAUGGCGAAGGCACUUUACUGGGCUAUUACUAACACUCAGAGACGAAAGCUAGGGUAGCAAAUGGG